rnacentral:rRNA from 1 species
UACGGAGGGUGCAAGCGUUAUCCGGAUUCACUGGGUUUAAAGGGUGCGUAGGUGGGCAGGUAAGUCAGUGGUGAAGUCUCCGGGCUUAACCCGGAAACUGCCGUUGAUACUAUCUGUCUUGAAUAUAGUGGAGGUGAGCGGAAUAUGUCAUGUAGCGGUGAAAUGCUUAGAUAUGACAUAGAACAUCGAUUGCGAAGGCAGCUCGCUACGCUAUUAUUGACACUGAGGCACGAAAGCGUGGGGAUCAAACAGG